UACGAAGGGGGCUAGCGUUGUUCGGAAUUACUGGGCGUAAAGCGCACGUAGGCGGGUUUGUAAGUAGGGGGUGAAAUCCCAGAGCUCAACUCUGGAACUGCCUUCUAAACUGCAAGCCUGGAGGUCAGGAGAGGCGAGUGGAAUACCGAGUGUAGAGGUGAAAUUCGUAGAUAUUCGGUGGAACACCAGUGGCGAAGGCGACUCGCUGGACUGAUACUGACGCUGAGGAGCGAAAGCGUGGGGAGCGAACAGG
rnacentral:rRNA from 1 species